rnacentral:rRNA from 1 species
GAGUUUGAUCAUGGCUCAGGACGAACGCUGGCGGCGUGCCUAACACAUGCAAGUCGAACGGAAACAGCAUGAAGCUUGCUUUGAGCUGUUUUAGUGGCGGACGGGUGAGUAACGCGUGAGUAACCUGCCUUUCAGAGGGGGAUAACGUCUGGAAACGGACGCUAAUACCGCAUGACAUAUUUUGGUCGCAUGGCCGGGAUAUCAAAGGAGCAAUCCGCUGAAAGAUGGACUCGCGUCCGAUUAGCUAGUUGGUGAGAUAAAGGCCCACCAAGGCGACGAUCGGUAGCCGGACUGAGAGGUUGAACGGCCACAUUGGGACUGAGACACGGCCCAGACUCCUACGGGAGGCAGCAGUGGGGGAUAUUGCACAAUGGAGGAAACUCUGAUGCAGCAACGCCGCGUGAGGGAAGACGGUUUUCGGAUUGUAAACCUCUGUCCUUGGUGACGAAAAAAAUGACGGUAGCCAAGGAGGAAGCUCCGGCUAACUACGUGCCAGCAGCCGCAGUAAC